rnacentral:lncRNA from 1 species
UCUCUUCCUCAUUGAACCUCCCUUUUUUCUAUUUUUCAAAAUUUGAGACUCACCAUUUUUUCUUCUACAUUUUUUGACAGGUGCAAUUUUUUUCUCAAUACAUCAUUGGGUUCUUCAUUCAUCUUGACUCAAAGGUAUAAUCUUUCCUUUUAAGUUCCUUCCAAUCUAUUGAUAUUAACUUACUCAUCAUUCCAAAUUUAAAAUGUUAUUCUAUGUGUUCUUAUUCAUAUUUGCAAGUUUGUUUGUCUUUAUUUUAUGCAUGUUACUACUCUACAUCUUCUAAUCACGCUUUUUUUUUUCAUCUUCAUCACACUUCCAAUGUCUCAUAUAUCUUCAUCACACGUUUUUUCUCUCUUCCUUUCCAUUUUACACACACAAAAAUAGAUUGACCGAGUGGAUAGUUUUCAUUCGAAGUUUGAAUCUUUGUAUAAGAAAGUUGGAAAUUUUGAUGUUAUCAAAGAAAGUUGAAAUUUUGAAUAAUAUAGAAGAAAGUUACAAUAUUUAUAGAAGAAGAUUGUAGAAGAAAGUUGUAAUUUUUUAUAUUAUAGAUGAAACUUGGAAUUUUUUAUGUUAUAGAAGAAAUUUGAAAGCUUCAAAUAAGAAAGUCUAAAUCUUUAAUGAAUCUUUGGGAGCUUAUAUGUUGUUGGUGACCCUCACUUUUGUUUCCAUCUUUAUAAAUUUUGUUAAUCUAAAUUAUGAACCUGAUCAUCUCCUUGGAAUAUAAUUGCCAUUUUAUUCAAUUUUAAAGAUUAUUUAUUUUUAAAUUAACAAUGUUUUAAGUUUAAAUAAUUCAAUUUAAAUUGUUAGAUAUGUUAAUCCCAUUGUUAGAUAAGAAAAUAAGACUCAAUUUAAGUUUAGAAAAUCUAAAAUAUGACAUAAAUAAAAUUCAAUUAAUCUUUUAAAUUCAAUUAUUUAUUAUCUGGUUUUUAUAUUAUGUGUAUGUGUUGAUUUUUUACUUUAUUAUUGCAAAUGAUUGUUUCUACUUUACUUAAAUCUCAUGCUAUUAUUAACACCCUCAUUUCUCAUUAUAUGAUAUCUUUUGUGUUUCAAUCAGUUAUAUGUUUUUGUAUUUUUGUACUAAGCAUAUAUAUUUAAGUUAAAGUAUAAUAUAUAAUACAUAUAUGUAUAUAUACAUAUACAUGUAUGAAUGUGUCUCUUAUUUGUACUUUAUUACAUUCAUUAUCCAAUUUUUGUAUUAUGUGUAUGAGUUUUUUUUACUUUGCUAUUCCAAAUGAUUAUUUCUACUUUGCUUAAAUCCCAUGCUAUCAUUAAUGCACCACAAUUGUCAUUAUAUGAUCUCUUAUGUGUUUUAGUUAGUUAUAUGUUUUUUGUAUUUUUGUACUAAACAUUUAAAGAUUCGGGCUAUUGUAGCAUAAAAAUGCAUUUGUCAAUCUAAUGGUUGGACAUUAUAUGAGAUGAGACACAAGAAGAUGAUACAUGUAAUAUUAUAUCAUUUUUAACAAAGAUUAUAUACAUUCACCAUUUUUGCUUCAACCAUUAUUGAUUAUAUCUGCAUGUGUUUAUUCAUGAGAAUUAUGAUUUUGAUGAUCAACUUUUGAUCCCAUUAAUUCAAAUCUUGAUCAUGUGUAAAAUAAUAUUGGAAUAAAUGGUCACAAUAGACAUAGUGAAAAUAAGGAAUAAGGAUAUCAAGUUGUAAGUUGUUGCCAUCCAAUUUCAAAACAUUGCUAAACCAAAUGUAUGUUUUUUCAAGUUCUUGCUUUUAAUGUUUAGUUCAACCUUUACUAAUUGUGGAUUCUAGGUUCUCUUUGUUGUUUUUUAGUUCAAAAUCUAUUAAUAAGGUAACAUUUUUAACUAACAAAAUAAUUAUUAUUUUGGUCAUUUUUGUUAGAUGAAGCUUAUUUUAUUCUUUUUUAGGUGAAGAUAACAUUUUUUGAAUGAUUUAUCAUUACACUUUAUUUCAAAUUUCUUGGUUGUAUUUUGAAUAGCCAUGAAAAAAUACAAAGGACACCCAUAAAUUAGUAAGACACCCAUAAAUUAGUAAGACAUCAUUCAUAUAUUAGACACUCACAUAACUACAAUGAUCAGCUAUGAAGACAUUUUGAUCCUUCUAAUAUAUUAUUUCUAUGAUGUAGCAAUGCUUCAUUUAUUGAAUUUGUACUUCUAUGUCAUUAUCACAGUGUUAAUAGUUUUAAAAAUUUCUAGCAUGCCAAAGAUAUGACACAUUUUCAGGGUUCAUCACGUGGCACAUCAUUUAUUGCAAUUGUACUUCUCUUUUAUUGUUAUUAUUACAGUGUCAAUAAUUUUAAAAUGUGCAUAUUUCUUUAUCUUUUGUUUUUAGAUUCUCAUGAGGGAAGAAAAUGUUACUAAAGCCACAUGUGUAAUAGCCAUGAAAAAAAUACAAAGGACACCCAUAAAUUUAUUACCACCA